rnacentral:misc_RNA from 1 species
GCCUCAUCCCCGCUCUCAAUCGUGUCCUCGUCGAGAAGAUCACCCCCCCUUCGAAGACCGUCGCCGGGAUCUUGCUCCCUGAGAAAACCAACAAGCUGAACUCUGGAAAAGUUGUGGCAGUGGGUCCUGGCAGUCGCAAUUCAAACGGUAAUCUUCUACCAGUUUCUCUUAAGGAAGGUGACACAGUCCUCUUGCCGGAGUAUGGUGGAACUCCAGUAAAGCUCGAGGAUAAAGAGUAUCAUCUCUUCAGAGAAGAUGAUAUAUUGGGGACGCUUCAUGACUGAGAGAGCUGCUGAGACCUUUUCAAUGCUGG